rnacentral:rRNA from 2 species
GAUGAACGCUGGCGGCGUGCCUAAUACAUGCAAGUCGAACGAGUUCUCGUUGAUGAUCGGUGCUUGCACCGAGAUUCAACAUGGAACGAGUGGCGGACGGGUGAGUAACACGUGGGUAACCUGCCCUUAAGUGGGGGAUAACAUUUGGAAACAGAUGCUAAUACCGCAUAGAUCCAAGAACCGCAUGGUUCUUGGCUGAAAGAUGGCGUAAGCUAUCGCUUUUGGAUGGACCCGCGGCGUAUUAGCUAGUUGGUGAGGUAAUGGCUCACCAAGGCGAUGAUACGUAGCCGAACUGAGAGGUUGAUCGGCCACAUUGGGACUGAGACACGGCCCAAACUCCUACGGGAGGCAGCAGUAGGGAAUCUUCCACAAUGGACGCAAGUCUGAUGGAGCAACGCCGCGUGAGUGAAGAAGGCUUUCGGGUCGUAAAACUCUGUUGUUGGAGAAGAAUGGUCGGCAGAGUAACUGUUGUCGGCGUGACGGUAUCCAACCAGAAAGCCACGGCUAACUACGUGCCAGCAGCCGCGGUAAUACGUAGGUGGCAAGCGUUAUCCGGAUUUAUUGGGCGUAAAGCGAGCGCAGGCGGUUUUUUAAGUCUGAUGUGAAAGCCCUCGGCUUAACCGAGGAAGCGCAUCGGAAACUGGGAAACUUGAGUGCAGAAGAGGACAGUGGAACUCCAUGUGUAGCGGUGAAAUGCGUAGAUAUAUGGAAGAACACCAGUGGCGAAGGCGGCUGUCUGGUCUGUAACUGACGCUGAGGCUCGAAAGCAUGGGUAGCGAACAGGAUUAGAUACCCUGGUAGUCCAUGCCGUAAACGAUGAAUGCUAGGUGUUGGAGGGUUUCCGCCCUUCAGUGCCGCAGCUAACGCAUUAAGCAUUCCGCCUGGGGAGUACGACCGCAAGGUUGAAACUCAAAGGAAUUGACGGGGGCCCGCACAAGCGGUGGAGCAUGUGGUUUAAUUCGAAGCAACGCGAAGAGCCUUACCAGGUCUUGACAUCUUUUGAUCACCUGAGAGAUCAGGUUUCCCCUUCGGGGGCAAAAUGACAGGUGGUGCAUGGUUGUCGUCAGCUCGUGUCGUGAGAUGUUGGGUUAAGUCCCGCAACGAGCGCAACCCUUAUGACUAGUUGCCAGCAUUUAGUUGGGCACUCUAGUAAGACUGCCGGUGACAAACCGGAGGAAGGUGGGGAUGACGUCAAAUCAUCAUGCCCCUUAUGACCUGGGCUACACACGUGCUACAAUGGAUGGUACAACGAGUUGCGAGACCGCGAGGUCAAGCUAAUCUCUUAAAGCCAUUCUCAGUUCGGACUGUAGGCUGCAACUCGCCUACACGAAGUCGGAAUCGCUAGUAAUCGCGGAUCAGCACGCCGCGGUGAAUACGUUCCCGGGCCUUGUACACACCGCCCGUCACACCAUGAGAGUUUGUAACACCCGAAGCCGGUGGCGUAACCCUUUUAGGGAGCGAGCCGUCUAAGGUGGGACAAAUGAUUAGGGUG